GGAUAGGUGGCCGAGUGGUCGAAGGCGCCUCCCUGCUAAGGAGGUAUACGAGCAAUCGUAUCGAGGGUUCGAAUCCCUUCCUAUCCGCCA
rnacentral:tRNA from 3 species